rnacentral:tRNA from 1 species
GGAAUGUAGCUCAGUUGGUAGAGUGCUUGCCUUGCAUGCACGAGGCCCUGGGUUCAAUCCCCAACACCA